AUUGAACGCUGGCGGCAUGCCUUACACAUGCAAGUCGAACGGUAACAGGUCUUCGGAUGCUGACGAGUGGCGAACGGGUGAGUAUACAUCGGAACGUGCCCGAUCGUGGGGGAUAACGAAGCGAAAGCUUUGCUAAUACCGCAUACGAUCUACGGAUGAAAGCAGGGGACCGCAAGGCCUUGCGCGGACGGAGCGGCCGAUGGCAGAUUAGGUAGUUGGUGGGAUAAAAGCUUACCAAGCCGACGAUCUGUAGCUGGUCUGAGAGGACGACCAGCCACACUGGGACUGAGACACGGCCCAGACUCCUACGGGAGGCAGCAGUGGGGAAUUUUGGACAAUGGGCGCAAGCCUGAUCCAGCCAUGCCGCGUGCAGGAUGAAGGCCUUCGGGUUGUAAACUGCUUUUGUACGGAACGAAACGGCUCUUUCUAAUAAAGAGGGCUAAUGACGGUACCGUAAGAAUAAGCACCGGCUAACUACGUGCCAGCAGCCGCGGUAACAC
rnacentral:rRNA from 1 species